GAUGAACGCUGGCGGCGUGCUUAACACAUGCAAGUCGAACGAAGCACUUGAAACAGAUUCUUCGGAUGAAGUUUCCUGUGACUGAGUGGCGGACGGGUGAGUAUCGCGUGGGUAACCUGCCUCAUACAGGGGGAUAACAGUUAGAAAUGGCUGCUAAUACCGCAUAAGCGCACGGCAUCGCAUGAUGCAGUGUGAAAAACUCCGGUGGUAUGAGAUGGACCCGCGUUGGAUUAGCUAGUUGGCAGGGUAACGGCCUACCAAGGCGACGAUCCAUAGCCGGCCUGAGAGGGUGGACGGCCACAUUGGGACUGAGACACGGCCCAGACUCCUACGGGAGGCAGCAGUGGGGAAUAUUGCACAAUGGGGGAAACCCUGAUGCAGUGACGCCGCGUGAGCGAAGAAGUAUUUCGGUAUGUAAAGCUCUAUCAGCAGGGAAGAAAAUGACGGUACCUGACUAAGAAGCCCCGGCUAACUACGUGCCAGCAGCCGCAGUAAUAC
rnacentral:rRNA from 1 species